rnacentral:rRNA from 1 species
UACGUAGGAUGCGAGCGUUAUCCGGAUUUAUUGGGUUUAAAGGGUGCGUAGGCGGUUUUAUAAGUCGUGGGUGAAAGUCAGAUGCUUAACAUCUGGAUUGCCUGCGAUACUGUAAGACUUGGAUGGGGCGGAGGUAACUGGAAUGACAGAUGUAGCGGUGAAAUGCAUAGAUAUCUGUUGGAACGCCAAUUGCGAAGGCAAGUUACUGUACCUUAAUUGACGCUGAGGCACGAAAGCGUGGGGAGCAAACAGG